UUGUUCGGCGCCGCCAUCUGAACGCACAUGGUUCCCCAGCCUCUUUCUGAUCCAGUCGUCACCACGAGAGCACAGGACGCCGGCGCCCCUCCCCUGGCAGCCCAUUCCUCCCACCCCAGAAUCAAAGCCAGGCACCCACCUCCCCUGAAGUCAGGGAGGCCAGGAUUCCAAGGCUGCCUCACACACUCCCUGGGUCUCCUGGACCAGAAUUAAAUGAGAGACGGUGCCAAGUUCAACUUAAUGACCUCCAAGGGCUCUUCCCCAUCGAAACGUAUGAUCUUCGGAUUCUAGAAUUGCCAGAACCCAGAGAAAUCGUGUUUUGUUUUUUGUGUUUUUUUUUGGCCAAAUUACAAAUUGCCAAAUUACUCUGGCAGGGUCAGAUGUGUCCAAAGAAGAUGCGAAAACAUUCUCCAAAGAACAUAGUCAAGAAAAAAUAACAAGGUCUGAGCCUCAUAAAACAAACAAACAAAAAAAAAAUGGAGACAAGUCUACAUGCCAUAGGAAAAGGGCACUGCCCUGGUCCUGUCAGGAAGAACCCAGGAGGCAAGUCUCUGAAACACCUCUAGGAGGGCAGGAAGAUCAGAAUCUCCAAUGAAGGGAAAAGCUCCAUGGAGGCAGGCCCUCAACAUGGCUGGGAGCAUUCAGACCAGGAUGCAUCAGUGCUGAUUUUAGUUUACAAAACUUUGACCCAAAAGUCCGGGAGGUGAAGAGUUCAGAAGGGGGAAAAGCCUGCUCCUGGCACAACGUCCCAAAGCAGGAACUGAGGCUGCAGAUAGGAGCAAACAGAAGAGACUGAAAACUCUUAAAAAGUAGUUUGAACGUGGAGGCAACCAAGAGACAACCCCAGGACAGAAGAGGGUCAUUCCAUACCUACUACAAGCAGAGGUUCACAGAGGAUAAAAGAAAAUGUUUCUUCAUAAAGACUAUAGAAGUUUGCAAAAGAAAUGAAACAAGAGAUAAUAUAAAAAUAUAAAUGAAAUAAAAUGAAAAUAAAAAAUAAAUGAAAUAAAAAUAAAUGAAAUUAUAAGGAAAGGACUGGAAGAAAAAUGAAUCAUUUAUGUAUUUAUGUAUGACCUUGGGCAAGUCACUUAACCCCCAUUGCCUAGCCCUUACCACUCUUCUGCCUUAGAAACCAACACACAGUAUUGAUUCCAAGAUGGAAGGUAAGGGUUAAAAAAAGAAAAAUAAAUCAUUUAGAACAGAAGAAGGAAAACCUUACCCAAAGUUUACAGAUUCCCUGAAAAUUACAGUGCAUCAAAAAGAAACCAAUGACUAUCACAAAAAAAAAUUAAUAAAAUCAAAAGCUUGAAAGAAUUCCUAA